UAGCAAAAUUUAUGAUUUUCAUAUAUUAUAAAUAAAUAUUUAAUUAUUUUUCUAAAAAAAUAAAUAUAUAAUUAUUAAAUUAUUACCAACUAGUUCUCGCCUACUUCUUGGUCACUUAAAAUUUCAAAAUCAAUUCUUAUUUUUAACAAAUUUAAGGGCUUGAAAAAGUGAAACUAAUUGAUUAUAUUCUAUAAGCAUAGUCAACAAAGUAAAUUUGUUUUCAUUUUAAAAAUAACAAAAUCCUGAUUCAGCAAAAAUAUACACAUAUUAUCUUAUAAUUAUUUUCAUUUUAAAAAUUACAUGAAAUCUUAUGAUCUGCUCAAAUUCCUUUUUUCACAAAAAUAUGACAUGGCGUAUCCAGCGGAAAGAUUGAUGAGCGUUUUGAUUGCUACCCACCAUUCUGAUAUUUUUAAAAUAUAAUCAUUACAAUGACUAAUAUCAAAUGCUAGUUUUUGAAGAUCAAAUUAAAUUCAUCUUGUUAGUAAGGUUAAAAAAUUUUGUUUAGGUAAAUUUUAUGUUGAAGGAUGCAAAAAGAGCCCAGUUUUUGUGCAAAAAUGAACAUAUUG
rnacentral:misc_RNA from 1 species